UGGGGAAUAUUGCACAAUGGGCGAAAGCCUGAUGCAGCGACGCCGCGUGAGGGAUGAAGGCCUUCGGGUUGUAAACCUCUUUCAGCAGGGAAGAAGCGAAAGUGACGGUACCUGCAGAAGAAGCGCCGGCUAACUACGUGCCAGCAGCCGCGGUAAUACGUAGGGCGCAAGCGUUGUCCGGAAUUAUUGGGCGUAAAGAGCUCGUAGGCGGUUUGUCGCGUCUGGUGUGAAAACCCAAGGCUCAACCUUGGGCUUGCAUCGGGUACGGGCAGACUAGAGUGCGGUAGGGGUGACUGGAAUUCCUGGUGUAGCGGUGGAAUGCGCAGAUAUCAGGAGGAACACCGAUGGCGAAGGCAGGUCACUGGGCCGCAACUGACGCUGAGGAGCGAAAGCAUGGGUAGCGAACAGG
rnacentral:rRNA from 1 species